rfam:Capsicum annuum cultivar Zunla-1 chromosome 9, whole genome shotgun sequence
UAAUGAUGACGAGGAAAAUUCCUGAGCAUACCCUUGAAUCCUUCCUAAGCUUGGUAAAGAUUUUCUCUAUCCUUCUUCCUAAAACUCAGAAUCUUACUUAUCAAAUG